rnacentral:rRNA from 1 species
UACGUAGGUGGCAAGCGUUGUCCGGAUUUAUUGGGCGUAAAGCAUGCGUAGGCGGAUACUUAAGUGGGAUGUGAAAACCCGGGGCUCAACUCCGGACCUGCAUUCCAAACUGGGUGUCUAGAGUACAGGAGAGGAAAGGGGAAUUCCUAGUGUAGCGGUGAAAUGCGUAGAGAUUAGGAAGAACACCAGUGGCGAAGGCGCCUUUCUGGACUGUAACUGACGCUGAGGCAUGAAAGCGUGGGUAGCAAACAGG